rnacentral:rRNA from 1 species
UGCAGUUAAAAAGCUCGUAGUCUGACCAUUGGCGGGCACUGAGCGUCCGCGGUUACUGAUCGUGUGUACGCGAGGUGUUGGCCACUACCUUCGGAGGAGCGUUCGUGCUUUUAACUAAGUGCGUGCGGGAUUCCGAUAGUUUACUUUGAGAAAAAUAGAGUGUUCAAAGCAGGCGUUUGCCUUGAAUACAUUAGCAUGGGAUAAUGAAAUAGGACGUUGGUUCUAUUUUGAUGGUUUACGGACCGACGUAAUGAUUAAUAGGGACAGUUGGGGGCGUUUAUAUUCCAUGGCUAGAGGUGAAAUUCUUGGAUUCAUGGAAGAUAAACUACUGCGAAAGCAUUUGCCAAAGAUGUUUUCAUUGAUCAAGAACGAAAGUUAGGGGAGCAAAGACGAUCAGAUACCGUCGUAGUCUUAACCAUAAACGAUGCCGACUAGGGAUCGGUGGGCGUUAGUUUGAUGACUCCAUCGGCACCUCAUGGGAAACCAAAGUCUUUGGGUUCCGGGGGGAGUAUGGUCGCAAGGCUGAAACUUAAAGGAAUUGACGGAAGGGCACCACC